rnacentral:lncRNA from 1 species
CUGCCCUCCAUCGAGAGAACUGCAGGCAUCUCGUCCCGGUGCCGUGCUGUCACUGCUGCUCAUGCACCUACUCUGAGUUCGCCUGCAUCUUCAGCCCGUGUGUGAUGUCUUCAAGUUUAUGAUGCCAUUUGUAGCAAAAUCACAGAGGAAUCUCUGAGUGGGAUUCAUGGCUGAUCGAAGAUUUGCAGCUAUCAAACUGGGAGGAAGAGAACGGUUGACAAAGAUGAAAACAAUCAAUCACCGACUCCUAUCGGCUUAACCCGAAUGCUCUGUUCAUUUAGGGACGGACAAAAUGGGGAUAUUAGCAAAGGCGAGAAUCUCAGAUCAUGAAGUCCGAGAAUACGAGUGUUCCAAAGCUGAUGCUGGAUGACAUUUGAUCUGAC